rnacentral:lncRNA from 1 species
ACAUUUUUAUCAUGGAGGUUGAUGUUAACAUUUCCCUCUUGAUCAGAUAUGGAAUUCCCAUCAAUUUGUUCAUCUUCUCCACAACAACAAUCGGCAAUUUGCCAUUUGGGUUCAGCGAUGCAUCAGUAUUUCUCUUGAUUUUUUGUAUCAAGAACGCUUCUGUGAUUGCAUCAUCCACCUAUUAUAUCUUUUUUAAUUGUGCUGGAAAAAAUAAACAAAUAAUGACAUCAAAGGUUGAUCGAUGCAAGCUAUGCCCCAUGUAUGUGAUGGAUAAAUUACUUGAUCAGUACUAAACGUAUAUGGAGUAGGGAUCAGAGAAUACUAAUAUAGUAUAAUAUACCUUGGAUGAUCGGAUCGGCUUU